UCCCUGGUAGUCCAGUGGUUAGGACUCCACACUUCUAAUGCAGGGGGUGUGGGUUCCAUCCCUGGUUAGGGAA
rnacentral:tRNA from 1 species